rnacentral:lncRNA from 1 species
ACAUAAUGCCUAUAGUUGGAGCCAGUUAAACUGGUAAACAUUGAAGUCUUCAGAAAACAAGUAAAGGAAUCCAAGGCAAGGAAGAAAGUAAAUUCAUCCUGGAAGGACUCAAAGCACUUUGAAAUUUUAAACGAAUGUAAUGAUAGCUGCUAAAACCACCUUUGUCACCAUAAUGGAUGAAGUACUUCAAAUUUAAACGAUUGAUCAUCCCUACAAGAGCUGCUAUGGUACCAAGGGAAGGUGAAAACUGAUGGACGAAAGUUUUACUACCAUGCACUGAAAAGAAAGCAUUGUCU